rnacentral:rRNA from 1 species
AACCAACAGGGAUUGCCUUAGUAGCGGCGAGUGAAGCGGCAAGAGCUCAAAUUUGAAAUCUGGUACCUUCGGUGCCCGAGUUGUAAUUUGAAGAAAGCAAUCUUUGAUUUGGCCCUUGUCUAUGUUCCUUGGAACAGGACGUCACAGAGGGUGAGAAUCCCGUGCGAUGAGGUGUCCAUUUCUUUGUAAGAUGUUUUCGAAGAGUCGAGUUGUUUGGGAAUGCAGCUCAAAGUGGGUGGUAAAUUCCAUCUAAAGCUAAAUAUUGGCGAGAGACCGAUAGCGAACAAGUACUGUGAAGGAAAGAUGAAAAGAACUUUGAAAAGAGAGUGAAAAAGUACGUGAAAUUGUUGAAAGGGAAGGGUAUUCGAUCAGACUUGGUAUUUAGUUAUCAUUUCUCCUUGUGAGGGGUGCUCUAGCUUUUUACUGGGCCAGCAUCAGUUUUGGUGGCAAGAUAAUGACAGUUGAACGUGGCUCCUCGGAGUGUUAUAGCUUCUGUUGAUGUUGCCUACCGGGACUGAGGUCUGCGGCUUUGCCUAGGAUGCUGGCGUAAUGAUCUAAUACCGCCCGUCUUGAAACACCGACCA